rnacentral:rRNA from 1 species
GACGAACGCUGGCGGCGUGCUUAACACAUGCAAGUCGAACGGAAAGGCCCUUCUCUUGUGGCGUACUCGAGUGGCGCACGGAUGAGUAACACGUGAGUAACCUGCCCUUGACUUUGGGCUAUCUUCAAGAAACUGGGGCCUAUAGCGGAUAGGAGGUCCUGCUGCCUGGUGGGGGUUUGCAAGUUUCGGCGGUUGGGGAUGGACUCGCGGCUUAUAAGCUUGUUGGUGGGGUAGUGGCUUACCAAGGAUUUGACGGGUAGCCGGCCUGAGAGGGUGACCGGCAACAUUGGGGGUAAGAAACGGCCCAGAAGACUCCGGGAGGCAGCAGUGGGGAAUAUUGCACAAUGGGCGGAAGCCGGAUGCAGCAACGCCGCGGGCGGGAUGACGGCCGUCGGGUGGUAAACCGCUUUCGCCUGUGAAGAAGCGAGAGUGACGGUAAUGGGGAAAGAAGCACCGGCUAACUACGUG